GGCAUAGCAAACAAUAUGCUGCAGACAUGUUUAUUUCUAAAAAUACAAAUAAAACGUCCAAAAUAAAAUAGUAGUUGCAUGCAUAUUUCAUUGUCUUCCGCUACGUCUUCAUUCGUAAACAAUGAAGAAAAAGAAGAAGACAAUGAAAAAAAUCGUGCGCUACACAACCUCUUUCGUCAACGUUUGGCAAACGACUGACAAGCUGGUAUUCCUCGAAUGAGGAGCACCGUGGCGACAACGUCACCUAUUAGUAAUUUCACCAUGUCCCCUAGAGCCACACACUGCACGAAGCAGAGUGUGAAAUGAGAGAAUGUGAAACAACAAAAAAAAACUGCUGGAUGGGGUGUGAGUAGCCACUGCAAAUUAAUUUCUUCAUUCUGGCUUUAACAUUGAUUCACUUCGGUGAUCUGAUAGAUAUGGUUCUUUCCUACAGAAUGGCAUUUUAGUUUUCUUUUAUCUUUAAAAUUGUGGAUACAGCAGAUUUUCGCCUUUGCGGGGCGGAGGGGGCGUGACGAAAUACACUUGCAGCAGUGUGAGCAUACAGCCAUCUAAAUGCGACAUUUGGUGGCUCAGACAGACCUACAUGGCUAUAUAGACUCGGCUAUUGAUGCUGAUCAAGAAUAUAUAUACUUUAUGGGGUUGGAGACGCUUCCUUCUGUGUGUUACAUACAUCCACCUUUGUGCACAAAUACAAUAUACCCUAUUUACCCUUCGAGUACUGGGUAUAAAAAGGACGGAGAGCACGGAAGCAGUCCAGGCUUCCAUUUAAUGCAGCGGAUACAUGAUCGGACUGUCUGACUGCAUACCUCCUGCUCGUGAGAAUGCAGGUGAUGGACAUACAUAUAUAGCAUACAAAGCUACGCACGUAUUACGAGCGCUUUGUCAAAAGCAACGGAAACUUGGCAUCGUAUGAUAUAGGAGCUCAAGUUUUAGCUUUACACCAGUGUCUUAAUGGGUGAAUGGGUUCAACCUCUGAAGACUAGGACCAACUCUAGAUCCUCUUACAUGUUCUUUUCAAAUGUAAUACUUGGUCUCUUACAUGUUCUUAUAAAUCGGAACAUAUAACACAACACUUUAAUAGCCUUUUCACACUGGGCACCAUCAACCAUCCAUUUCUGGGAUGGUCCGAAAAUGUUCCAGUUAUUACAGUUCCUAAUUUGCACGCGAUAUUUAUUCGGCUAUUUUCAAAUACAACCAUAAAUAUUUGGCAUUCACAACGAAAAAAUUAUAUUCAUUGGGAAAUUGUAACAAUGACUGACAGAAGAAGAGGAAAACCAACAACAAAACACUUGUGAAGUAGAGCAGAGUGUAGCUGGAGCUUUCAAAAAAAAAAAAUAUAAAACGAGAAGUGACGUGUGAGACGCACAACGUCACAACUUUUAUACAGGCAGGGGGAGGGCAGAGGCAGGGGCCGAGUGAGGCAGAAGCCGAGUGUGAAUGAGAGAAUGUAAAAAGAACAACAAAAGCUGCGGGACAGGGUGGGUUUAGCCACUGGAUAUUAAUUUCUCCAUUGUUGCUAUAAUAAUGAUCCGAUCGGAUAACAAUUUGGUGAUCUGAUAGAUAUGUACUGUAGGUUUGGGAGGUUUUUGCCCUUUUGCGGAGGCGGAAGGGGGCGGGGCUAAUUUUUGAAAUACACUGGUUUCAGUGUGAGCAUACAGCAGUCCGGAGCCAACAUUUGGUGGCUCUAUCUCUUAUAGUUUUUGAGAACUAACCGACAAACAAGACGGACGGACGGACGGACGGACAGACGGACAGACAGGCAUGGCUCUAUCGACUCGGCUAUUGAUACUAGUCGGAAACGUUUCCUUCUGUGCGUUACAUACAACCGUUAUUCACACAAUUACAAUAUACCCUAUUUAUUCUUCGAGUACCGGGUAUAAAAAAUGGAACAAGGAUCGGCAAAUAGCGGUUGUAAGCAUAUAUUACAUUUUUUGUUGUUUCAAAAUAACAUUAAAUUUAUCAAUAUUGCAGAAAAGAAGAGAACAACAGGUGGCAGGGGGAAAUAGUCAUCGGAGAUGGAGAGCCUGCUGAUAGAUCUCUGGCAGGAGAAUAUUGAAGAUCUGCGUGGAGCCAUGAAGGAGGCUGGGCUCGCGAUUGGAUGGGGAGAUGUUCGAGUGAAAGUCGAAAAUUUGCAAACAAUACGGUGGAGUACCAGCCUUUAUAAUUGUGAUGGUAGACUGCCUCAGCUCCUGGUGGUUUUUUUUCGAUUUGACAUCCAUCUACAAUAAAGGGAAAACCAAUUUACAUAUUUAUGUGCAUAUCUAUAGAUGUAUAAUGAAUUGUUCUAUUGCUUUCUUACCAAUUGCACCUAGACACUGUGGAAAUCCAAUCUCUUCGAAUCCUUGGACAUUCGUCAAGUCGCUUCACAUCUUUCAAAAAAAUCCAAAGUUCCCCUUGGAGGGGCUCAGUGUGAAGAGCCUAUUCUGAAUUAAAUUCAAGUUGUUUCAGUUAUAAUAGUCUUU
rnacentral:lncRNA from 1 species